rnacentral:rRNA from 1 species
ACAAGCGGUGGAGCAUUGUGGUUUAAUUCGAAGCAACGCGAAGAACCUUACCAGGUCUUGACAUCCCGAUGCUAUUUCUAGAGAUAGAAAGUUACUUCGGUACAUCGGUGACAGGUGGUGCAUGGUUGUCGUCAGCUCGUGUCGUGAGAUGUUGGGUUAAGUCCCGCAACGAGCGCAACCCCUAUUGUUAGUUGCCAUCAUUCAGUUGGGCACUCUAGCGAGACUGCCGGUAAUAAACCGGAGGAAGGUGGGGAUGACGUCAAAUCAUCAUGCCCCUUAUGACCUGGGCUACACACGUGCUACAAUGGUUGGUACAACGAGUUGCGAGUCGGUGACGGCGAGCUAAUCUCUUAAAGCCAAUCUCAGUUCGGAUUGUAGGCCGCAACUCGACUUCAUGAAGGCGGAAUCGCUAGUAACCGCGAAUCAGCAGGUCGCGGUGAAUACGUUCCCGGGCCUU